rnacentral:rRNA from 1 species
GGAGGUUGGCUUAGAAGCAGCCACCCUUUAAAGAAAGCGUAAUAGCUCACUAGUCGAGUCGGCCUGCGCGGAAGAUAUACCGGGGCUAAAUUGAUAACCGAAGCUGUGGAUUCGUAUUCAUUUAUGGAUAUGGAUGGUAGAGGAGCGUUCUGUAAGUGGUUGAAGCCAAGCUGUGAGGCUUGGUGGACAUAUCAGAAGUGCGAAUGCUGACAUGAGUAACGAUAAGGGGGGUGAAAAACCUCCCCGCCGAAAGAUCAAGGUUUCCUGCCCAACGCUAAUCGGGGCAGGGUGAGUCGACCCCUAAGGCGAGGGCGAAAGCCGUAGUCGAUGGGAAACCGGUUAAAAUUCCGGUACCGAUUCUUACUGCGAUGGAGUGACGGAGAAGGCUAGGCUAGCACGGCGUUGGUUGUCCGUGUUCAAGCGAGUAGGUAGUUGGCUUAGGUAAAUCCGGGCCGAUGUUAAUCUGAGACGUGAUAACGAUUCCUCGGGGCGACCCUUGGGAGAAGUAGCUGAUGCCAUACUUCCAGGAAAAUCUUCUAAGCUAUAGGUAAGAAUUGAUCGUACUGUAAACCGACACAGGUGAUCAGGUAGAGAAUACCAAGGCGCUUGAGAGAACUUGGGUGAAGGAACUAGGCAAAAUGGUACCGUAACUUCGGGAGAAGGUACGCUCCUUUUGGUGAUUGGACUUGCUCCAUGAGCUGAGGGGAGUCGAAGUGACCAGGUGGCUGCAACUGUUUAUUAAAAACAUAGCACUCUGCAAACUCGUGAGAGGAAGUAUAGGGUGUGACGCCUGCCCGGUGCCGGAAGGUUAAUUGAUGGGGUUAGCUUCGGCGAAGCUCUUGAUCGAAGCUAAGGUAGCGAAAUUCCUUGUCGGGUAAGUUCCGACCUGCACGAAUGGCGUAAUGAUGGCCACGCUGUCUCCACCCAAGACUCAGUGAAAUUGAAAUUGCUGUUAAGAUGCAGUGUACCCGCGGCUAGACGGAAAGACCCCGUGAACCUUUACUAUAGCUUCACACUGGACUUUGACCUUAUUUGUGUAGGAUAGGUGGGAGACUAUGAAGCAUCGGCGCUAGCCGGUGUGGAGUCGCCCUUGAAAUACCACCCUGAUAAUGUUGAGGUUCUAACUUAGCGCCUGAAACGGGCGUGAGGACAGUGUGUGGUGGGUAGUUUGACUGGGGCGGUCUCCUCCUAAAGAGUAACGGAGGAGCACGAAGGUACCCUAAUUGCGGUCGGAAAUCGCAAGUUUAGUGCAAAGGCAUAAGGGUGCUUGACUGCGAGAGUGACAACUCGAGCAGGUACGAAAGUAGGUCUUAGUGAUCCGGUGGUUCUGAAUGGAAGGGCCAUCGCUCAACGGAUAAAAGGUACUCCGGGGAUAACAGGCUGAUACCGCCCAAGAGUUCACAUCGACGGCGGUGUUUGGCACCUCGAUGUCGGCUCAUCACAUCCUGGGGCUGAAGCCGGUCCCAAGGGUAUGGCUGUUCGCCAUUUAAAGUGGUACGCGAGCUGGGUUUAGAACGUCGUGAGACAGUUCGGUCCCUAUCUGCCGUGGGCGCAGGAGAUUUGAGAAGAGUUGCUCCUAGUACGAGAGGACCGGAGUGAACGAACCUCUGGUGUUCGGGUUGUGUCGCCAGACGCAUUGCCCGGUAGCUACGUUCGGACAGGAUAACCGCUGAAAGCAUCUAAGCGGGAAGCCCCCUUCGAGAAGAGAUCUCCCUGAGGACUUGAUCCUCCUGAAGUGCCGUUGAAGACGACGACGUUGAUAGGCUGGGUGUGUAAGCACUGCGAAGUGUUGAGCUAACCAGUACUAAUUGCACGUGAGGCUUGACCAUAUAA